rnacentral:rRNA from 1 species
UACGAAGGGGGCUAGCGUUGCUCGGAAUCACUGGGCGUAAAGCGCACGUAGGCGGCUUCUUAAGUCAGGGGUGAAAUCCUGGAGCUCAACUCCAGAACUGCCUUUGAUACUGGGAAGCUUGAGUCCGGGAGAGGUGAGUGGAACUGCGAGUGUAGAGGUGAAAUUCGUAGAUAUCAGGAGGAACACCUGCGGUGUAGACGGCUUACUGGACCAUCACUGACGCUGAGGCACGAAAGCGUGGGUAGCAAACAGG